AUAAAGGUCAGUUCCCCUGCACAGGCUCUCUUGCCUGCUGCCAUGUAAGACACGCCUCUGCCCCUCCCUUGCCUUCUGCCAUGAUUGUGAGGCCUCCCCAGCCAUGUGAAGUGAGCCUAGAAGAAUUCACUGGAUUUUGUAGAGUGGAGACAAGAAGGGAUACCUUUCUAUAUCAUGUUAGUGAAGGAUAACAGUAGGACAGCACUGGCCUAUCCUGGUGGGGGUGAGUAUAUCUCUCUAGUACAACAAAAGAAACUCUCCAGAAAAUUCUGGGGAAAUGUGGUUGGAUGGGUAGUCUGGGCCGGGUUAUUGGAUGCCCUUGAAAAUCAGGCAGGAAC
rnacentral:lncRNA from 1 species